GGCGCUGGUGGCUCAGUUGGUAGAGCUCGCGCACCACGUACAGAGGCUAUAGUCCUAAACGCGGUUGUCCUGGGUUCGAUUCCAGAUCUCGGGCCA